rnacentral:rRNA from 1 species
UACGUAGGGUGCAAGCGUUGUCCGGAAUUAUUGGGCGUAAAGAGCUCGUAGGCGGUCUGUUACGUCGGCUGUGAAAACCUGGGGCUCAACUCCGGGCCUGCAGCCGAUACGGGCAGACUAGAGUUCGGCAGGGGAGACUGGAAUUCCUGGUGUAGCAGUGAAAUGCGUAGAUAUCAGGAGGAACACCGAUGGCGAAGGCAGGUCUCUGGGCUGACACUGACGCUCAUGCACGAAAGCGUGGGGAGCAAACAGG